UACGUAGGGUGCAAGCGUUGUCCGGAAUUAUUGGGCGUAAAGCGCGUGUAGGCGGCUUUGCAAGUCAGGUGUGAAAGCCCUCAGCUCAACUGAGGAAGUGCGCCCGAAACUGCAGAGCUUGAGUGCCGGAGAGGGUGGCGGAAUUCCCCAAGUAGAGGUGAAAUUCGUAGAUAUGGGGAGGAACACCGGUGGCGAAGGCGGCCACCUGGACGGUAACUGACGCUGAGACGCGAAAGCGUGGGGAGCAAACAGG
rnacentral:rRNA from 1 species